rnacentral:tRNA from 1 species
AUUAACGGAACAUGUCUAUGUAAUAACUUUAAGUGUUAUAAAAAGAAUAAAUUUCUCGCUAAUA